GACAGAGGGGGCAAGCGUUGUCCGGAAUUACUGGGCGUACAGGGCACGCAGGUGGCUGCAUAGGUGGCGUGUGAAAGCCCCGCGCUUAACGCGGGGAGGCCACGCCAAACGGUGCGGCUCGAGCGAUGCAGAGGGUGGUGGAAUUGCCGGUGUAGUGGUGAAAUGCGUAGGGAUCGGCAGGAACACCAGGGACGAAGGUAACCACCUGGGCAUCAGCUGACACUCAUGUGCGACAGCGUGGGGAGCGAACCGG
rnacentral:rRNA from 1 species